AUUGAACGCUGGCGGCAGGCUUAACACAUGCAAGUCGAGCGGGGGAAGGUAGCUUGCUACUGGACCUAGCGGCGGACGGGUGAGUAAUGCUUAGGAAUCUGUCUAUUAGUGGGGGACAACAUCUCGAAAGGGAUGCUAAUACCGCAUACGUCCUACGGGAGAAAGCAGGGGAUCUUCGGACCUUGCGCUAAUAGAUGAGCCUAAGGCGGAUUAGCUAGUUGGUGGGGUAAAGGCCUACCAAGGCGACGAUCUGUAGCGGGUCUGAGAGGAUGAUCCGCCACACUGGGACUGAGACACGGCCCAGACUCCUACGGGAGGCAGCAGUGGGGAAUAUUGGACAAUGGGGGGAACCCUGAUCCAGCCAUGCCGCGUGUGUGAAGAAGGCCUUAUGGUUGUAAAGCACUUUAAGCGAGGAGGAGGCUACUCUAGUUAAUACCUAGGGAUAGUGGACGUUACUCGCAGAAUAAGCACCGGCUAACUCUGUGCCAGCAGCCGCCGCCG
rnacentral:rRNA from 1 species